rnacentral:rRNA from 1 species
UCGCCCUGUUUUUACAAAAACAUAGCUUUAUGAUAAUCUAUAUAAAGUGCAUCCUGCCCAGUGAUUUUUAAACGGCCGCUUUUGUGCUAAGGUAGCAUAAUAAUUUGCCUUUUAAUUGGAGGCUAGAAUGAAUGGAUAUCUAAAUUUAUGCUUUAUUGUGAGCAAACCUAAAAAUUAAACUUAACGUGAAAAUUCGUUAUAUAUAAAAAAAGACCAAAAGACCCUGGGAGCUUUAAUUAAAUAAUAACCUUGUAAAAUUAAUUUUUGUUGGGGGGACAAAGAAAAAUCAUUCUUAACCUAAGCUCUAUAUUCCUUUUAUAUACCUACACUAGCUACCCCAGGGAUAACAGGCUACUCUUUUUUGAAAGUCCACAUUUACAAAAAGACAUAGCACCUCGAUGUUGGCUUAAGAGUACGUAAAAUGCAACAGUUUUACCUAAUGGCUUGUUCCGCCAAUAAUUUCUUACGUGAUCUGAUUCCAGACCGGA